UGGGAACGUGCCUUUAGGUUCGGAAUAACUCAGGGAAACUUGUGCUAAUACCGAAUGUGCCCUUCGGGGGAAAGAUUUAUCGCCUUUAGAGCGGCCCGCGUCUGAUUAGCUAGUUGGUGGGGUAAUGGCCCACCAAGGCUACGAUCAGUAGCUGGUCUGAGAGGAUGACCAGCCACAUUGGGACUGAGACACGGCCCAAACUCCUACGGGAGGCAGCAGUGGGGAAUCUUGCGCAAUGGGCGAAAGCCUGACGCAGCCAUGCCGCGUGGAUGAUGAAGGUCUUAGGAUUGUAAAAUCCUCUCACCGGUGAAGAUAAUGACUGUAGCCGGAGAAGAAGCCCCGGCUAACUUCGUGCCAGCAGCCGCGGUAAUACGAAGGGGGCUAGCGUUGCUCGGAAUUACUGGGCGUAAAGGGAGCGUAGGCGGACAUUUAAGUCAGGGGUGAAAUCCCAGAGCUCAACUCUGGAACUGCCUUUGAUACUGGAUGUCUUGAGUGUGAGAGAGGUAAGUGGAACUCCGAGUGUAGAGGUGAAAUUCGUAGAUAUUCGGAAGAACACCAGUGGCGAAGGCGACUUACUGGCUCAUUACUGACGCUGAGGCUCGAAAGCGUGGGGAGCAAACAGGAUUAGAUACCCUGGUAG
rnacentral:rRNA from 1 species